UCCCCCUACGGGGCGCAGCAGUGGGGAAUAUUGCACAAUGGGGGAAACCCUGAUGCAGCGACGCCGCGUGAGUGAAGAAGUAUUUCGGUAUGUAAAGCUCUAUCAGCAGGGAAGAAAAUGACGGUACCUGACUAAGAAGCCCCGGCUAACUACGUGCCAGCAGCCGCGGUAAUACGUAGGGGGCAAGCGUUAUCCGGAUUUACUGGGUGUAAAGGGAGCGUAGACGGCAGAGCAAGUCAGAAGUGAAAGCCCGCGGCUCAACUGCGGGACUGCUUUUGAAACUGUAUGACUAGAGUGCAGGAGAG
rnacentral:rRNA from 1 species